rnacentral:rRNA from 1 species
GUGAACGUUACCAAACUGUUGCCUCGGCGGGAUCUCUGCCCCGGGUGCGUCGCAGCCCCGGACCAAGGCGCCCGCCGGAGGACCAACCAAAACUCUUAUUGUAUACCCCCUCGCGGGUUUUUUACUAUCUGAGCCAUCUCGGCGCCCCUCGUGGGCGUUUCGAAAAUGAAUCAAAACUUUCAACAACGGAUCUCUUGGUUCUGGCAUCGAUGAAGAACGCAGCGAAAUGCGAUAAGUAAUGUGAAUUGCAGAAUUCAGUGAAUCAUCGAAUCUUUGAACGCACAUUGCGCCCGCCAGUAUUCUGGCGGGCAUGCCUGUCCGAGCGUCAUUUCAACCCUCGAACCCCUCCGGGGGGUCGGCGUUGGGGAUCGGCCCUUUACGGGGCCGGCCCCGAAAUACAGUGGCGGUCUCGCCGCAGCCUCUCCUGCGCAGUAGUUUGCACACUCGCAUCGGGAGCGCGGCGCGUCCACAGCCGUUAAACACCCCAAACUUCUGAAAUGUUGACCUCGGAUCAGGUAGGAAUACCCGCUGAACUUAAGCAUAUCAAUAAGCGGAGGAA